AAAUGAAUAGACGGGGACCCGCACAAGCGGUGGAGCAUGUGGUUUAAUUCGAAGAUACGCGAAGAACCUUACCUGGACUUGACAUUGAUAGGAUCCUGUAGAGAUAUGGGAGUGCUAGCUUGCUAGAGCUUGAAAACAGGUGCUGCACGGCUGUCGUCAGCUCGUGUCGUGAGAUGUUGGGUUAAGUCCCGCAACGAGCGCAACCCACGUCGUUAGUUGCUAACAGUUAGGCUGAGAACUCUAACGAGACUGCCUUCGUAAGGAGGAGGAAGGUGUGGACGACGUCAAGUCAUCAUGGCCCUUACGUCCAGGGCUACACACGUGCUACAAUGGGAUAUACAAAGAGCAGCGAUACAGUGAUGUGGAGCAAAUCUCAUAAAAUAUCUCCCAGUUCGGAUUGUAGUCUGCAACUCGACUACAUGAAGUUGGAAUCGCUAGUAAUCGUAGAUCAGCAUUGCUACGGUGAAUACGUUCCCGGGUCUUGUACACACCGCCCGU
rnacentral:rRNA from 1 species